rnacentral:lncRNA from 1 species
GCACCUGCGGAUGUCACAUGGGCAGGACAGCAGGUGGGUGAAGCUCUCUCCUGGCCCUCCUCUCUUGCCAGGACUAUGGGUGACUGAAGACCCCCAGGGAGGCACAGCAUCCUCUUAUCUAAGAUUUUUUUUUUUUUUUUUUUUAAGAGACAGGGUCUUUCUCUGUCGCCCAGGCUGGACUGCAGAGGCACAAUCAUAGCUCACGGCAGCCUUGAACUCCUGGGCUCAAGCGAUCCUCCCACUUCAGCGUCCCAAGUAGCUGAGACUACAGGCACACGCCAGCAUGCCCGGCUGGUUUUUUAAUUUGUAUUUCCUUUGAGACAGCGUAUCUCUCUGUUGCUCAGGCUGGAGUGCAGUGGCUCAAUCAGCUCACUUUAGCCUUGAACUCCUGGGCUCAAGUGAUACUGCCACCUCAACCUCCCAAGUCUGCUACUACAGGAACACAAACUCCUUUUUUAAAUUUUUUAUGGAUAUGGGGUCUUACUAUGUUGCCUAGGCUGGUCUCGAACUCCCAGGCUCAAGCAGUCCUCCUACCUCAGCCUCCCCAAAUGCUGGGAUUACAGGUGGGAGCUACUGUACACCUGGCCUUAUCUAAGCUGUUUCCCUGAAAAUCCCCGUCUUGGGUAAUGAUUCCAUUGGCCCCACCAUGCCCUCUGCCUUCCUGGCUGUGCCCAAGCUUGGUCCCUGCCUGCCUGCCUGCCUCCCUCUCUGGGUCUUGAGCUCCUGUGACACAUGACUCCUCUCUCUUCCUGGAGUGAUCCAAGCCCUGCCACUUCCUGACUUUGCCCACACUGUACCCUCUGCCUGGGGCAACUUCAUGUCUGCCCAUUGUCCCUUAGGCCUCAGCCCAGGCACAAGCCCCUGCCUCCGGAGGUCAUCCAGGCCUCACCAGGCUACACCCUCUCGUAAAAUUGGAUUCCCUCCCUUCAGGGCAGGUUUAUAAUGAAAUCCUCCUCAGAGGCCAGGUGCGGUGACACCCAUCUGUAAUCCCAGCACUUUGGGAGGCUGAGGUGGGAGGAUCACUUGAGGCCAGGGGGUCGAGACCAGCCUGGGCAACAUAAGAGAGACUCUUGUCUCUAUAACAAAUUUAAAAAUUAGUCACCAGGCCAGGCUCAGUGGCUCAUGCCUGUAAUCCCAACACUUUGAGAGGCCGAGGCAGGUGGAUCACGAGGUCAGGAGUUCGAGAGCAGCCUGACCAACAUGGCGAAACCCUGUCUCUACUAAAAAUACAAGAUUAGCCAGGCAUGGUGGCACGCACCUGUAAUCCCAGCUACUCGGGAGGCUGAGGUAGGAGAAUUGCUUGAACCCAGGAGGUGGAGGUUGCGGUGAGCCAGGAUCACGCCAUUGCUGUCCAGCCUGAGCAACAGAGCAAGACUCUGUCUCGAGACAAUAAAAACACACAAAAAAUUAACUCGCCAUGAUGGCACAUGCCUAUAGUCCUAGCUACUUGGGAGGCUGAGGUGGGAGGAUUCCCUUCAGCCCAGGAGUUUGAGGCUGCAGUGAGCCACUAUGAUUGUGCCACUGCACUCUAACCUGGGCAAAAGCGAGACCCCAGGCUAGAGUGCAUGAUUUUGGGUCACUGCAACCUCCACCUCCCAGGUUCAAGUGAUUCUCCUGCCUCAGCCUCUUGAGUAGCUGGGACUACAGGCAUGUGCCACCACGCCUGGGUAAUUUUUGUAUUUUUAGUAGAGACAGGGUUUAGUAGAGACCAUGGUGAAACCCCGUCUCUAUUAAACAAAUCUCUACUAACCCCAUCUCUACAAAAAACAGCUGGGCGUGGUAGUGCACACCUGUAAUUCUAGCUACUUGGGAGGCUGAGGCACGAGAAUCAUUUGCAUCUUGGAGGCAGAGUUUGCAGUGAGCUGACAUCGCACCACUGCGCUCCAGCCGGGAUGACAGAGCAAGACCCUGUCUCAAAAAAAAGAAAAAGGAACAAACAACAGCAACGACAACAAAAAAACCUCUGUGUCAAUCACAGCCUACAAGCUAGGGGAGAGGCGGCCGAAUUCUGCCCUCUGCUAACUAACUAUAGCUUUGUGGAAAUGGGUGAAUGGCGUGCCCUUGUGAGCCUCAGGGCCCCAUCUGUAAAAUGGGCAUAACUGUCAUGCCCGUCUUUAAGAACAGCCUUGGGGGUAAAUGAGUGGAAGUCAUGGAAAGAUCUCAGCCCACAACCUUCCACAGAACAGACGCUUCUCACACAGUAAGUAGCAGGAGUGCAGAGGCUGCAGGCAUGAAUCCAGCCAGACUGCCUGGGUUCAAGUCCCAGCUCCCACGUCUUGGUAACUAUGUGGCCUCAGACAAGUUACUUAAUAUUUCUUUUUUUUUUUUUCAGACGGAGUUUUGCUCUGUCACCCAGGUUGGAGUGCAGUGGUGUGAUCUCGGCUCAUUGCAACCUCUGCCUCCCGGGUUCAAGCAAUUCUCCUGCCUCAGCUUCCUGAGUAGCUGGAAUUACAGGCACCUGCCACCACACACAGCUAAUUUUUGUAUUUUUAGUAGAGACGGGGUUUCACCAUGUUGGCCAGGAUGGUCUCGAACUCCUGACCUCGUGAUCUGCCUGCCUCAGCCUCCCAAAGUACUGGGAUUACAGGCGUGAGCCACCGCACCUGGACACGUUACUGAAUAUUUCUGUGCCUAGGUUUCUUCAUGUGAAAUGGGAUUGUUGUGAGAACACAAAGGGAUUCCCAGGGCAGUUCCUAGUGCAUAGUCUGGCUGCCUUUGUAUGUGUGUGUGUGUGUGUGUGUGUGCACGCGUGUGUGUGUGUGUGUUUAAUAUAGAGACAGGGUUUCACUCUGUUGCCUAGGCUCGUUUCAAACUCCUGGGCUCCAGUGAUCCUCCUGCCUCGACCCAAAGUGGUGGGAUUACAGGCAUGAGUCAACACACCUGGUCACUUUAUAUUAUUAUUAUUUUUUUCUUUUGAGACAGGGUUUGGCACUGUUGUCCAGGUUGGAAUACAGCGGUGCAAUCUCAACUCACUGCAAACUCCGCCUCCCGGGUUCAAGCAAUUCUCCUGCCUCAGUCUCCCGAGUAGCUGAGAUUACAGACGCCUGCCACCACACACAGCUAAUUUUUGCAUUUUUAGUAGAGAUGGGGUUUCACCAUAUUGGCCAGGCUGGUCUUGAACUCCUGACCUCAAGUGAUCUGCCGGCCUCGGCCUCCCAAAGUGCUGGGAUUCCAGGCAUGAGCCACCAUGCCCAG